AUUGAACGCUGGCGGCAGGCCUAACACAUGCAAGUCGAACGCGUGGCGGACGGGUGAGUAAUGUCUGUGAAACUGCCCGUUGGAGGGGGAUAACUACUGGAAACGGUAGCUAUUACCGCAUACCAUCGGAUGUGCCCACAUGGGAUUAGCUGGUAGGUGGGGUAAAGGCUCACCUAGGCGACGAUCCCUAGCUGGUCUGCGAGGAUGACCAGCCACACUGGAACUGAGACACGGUCCAGACUCCUACGGGAGGCAGCAGUGGGGAAUAUUGCACAAUGGGCGCAAGACUGAUGCAGCCAUGCCGCGUGUAUGAAGAAGGCCUUCGGGUUGUAAAGUACUUUCAGCGGGGAGGCGUUACCCGCAGAAGAAGCACCGGCUAACUCCGUGCCAGCAGCCGCGGUAAUAC
rnacentral:rRNA from 1 species